rnacentral:lncRNA from 1 species
UUAUGGAAAAAAUUUGGGGGAAAAAAUGGGACUUUUUGGGGAAAAACGGGAUUUUUAUGGAAAAAAUUUGGGGAAAAAAUGGGAUUUUUAGAGGGAAAAAUGGGAUUUUUCGGGAUAAAAAUGGGAUUUUUUAGGAUAAAAAAUGGGAUUUUUUAGCAUAAAAAAUGGGAUUUUUUGGGAUAAAAAAUGGGAUUUUAAGGAAAAAACCCCCAGGAUUUUGGGCGGAGAAAGGGGAAAUUGGGGCAAAGUUGGGAUUUUGGGGCUGGAUUUGGGGGAAUUGCGGGGAUUUUGGGGGGUUUGGGAAGGGGAACGGGAGCGGACAGAGCGCGAGCGCCUGCAGCGGCACCGGCACCCCAGCGGCAGCUGGAGGAGGGAGUGGGACGCCCAGAAACCACCGGCCAUGUGCGUUUGGGGGGAAUUCCCAGGGUUUUGGGAAAAAAAAUGGGAUUUUUGGGAGAAAAAAUGGGAUUUUUAGGAGAAAAAAUGGGGUUUUUAUGGAAAAAAAAUGGGAUUUUUAGAGGGAAAAAUGAGAUUUUUAGAGGGAAAAAUGAGAUUUUUUUGGGGGAAAAUGGGAUUUGGGGAAAAAUCCCGGGGUUUUGGGAAAAAAAAUGGGAAAAAAUGGGAUUUUUGGGGUAAAAAUGGGNNNNNNNNNNNNNNNNNNNNAGCGGCAGCUGGAGGAGGGAGUGGGACGCCCAGAAACCACCGGCCCUGUGCGUUUGGGGGGAAAAAACGGGAUUUUGGGAAAAAAAACGGGAAAAAAAUGGGAAUUUUGGAAAAAAAAUGGGAUUUUUAGGAAAAAAAAUUGAAUUUUUGGGAGAAAAAAUGGGAUUUUUAGAGGGAAAAAUGGGAUUUUUAGGGGGAAAAAUGGGAUUUUUAGAGGGAAAAAUGGGAUUUUUUAGGGGAAAAAUGGGAUUUUUAGGGGGAAAAAUGAGAUUUGGGAGAAAAAAAUGGGAUUUUGGGAAAAAUUUGGGGGAAAAAAUGGGAUUUUUUGGGGAAAAAAUGGGAUUUUUAUGGAAAAAAUUUGGGGGAAAAAAUGGGAUUUUUUGGGGAAAAAAUGGGAUUUUUAUGGAAAAAAUUUGGGGAAAAAAUGGGAUUUUUAUGGAAAAAAUUUGGGGAAAAAAUGGGAUUUUUAGAGGGAAAAAUGGGAUUUUUGGAGAUAAAAAUGGGAUUUUUUGGGGUAAAAAUGGGAUUUUUUAGGAUAAAAAUGGGAUUUUUUGGGAUAAAAAUGGGAUUUUUUGGGAUAAAAAUGGGAUUUUAAGGAAAAAACCCCCAGGAUUUUGGGCGGAGAAAGGGGAAAUUGGGGCAAAGUUGGGAUUUUGGGGCUGGAUUUGGGGGAAUUGCGGGGA